rnacentral:rRNA from 1 species
AUGCACCACUCGAUCGCGCACCAACGAACUAGGCAAGAACUCUCCUCGACCUCAUCCCUUCCCCUUCUCCUCCUCCUCCUUCCUCUCCUAGUCGUACCUCUUCUUUACUUGUACCUGCGGCGGCAGGACCCCAUGAAGCAGCCUUGUGCCCAUGGACUCAAGGUCUACCCAAUCCUAGGCACACUGCCGCACUUGCUCAAGAACCAAGACCGCUUCCUCGAGUGGUACACCGGCGUGAUGCAGAGCAGCCCUACCCAUACCCUGGUGUUCAAGGUGUCAGGUCUCGCCGGCGAAGCCAUCACGGCCGACCCGGCAAACGUGGAGCACAUACUCAGGGCUAACUUUGGGAAUUACCCCAAGGGCGAGCUUACGGUGUCCAUGUUCGAGGACUUUCUUGGCCACGGCAUCUUCAACUCUGAUGGGGAGCAGUGGCUGUGGCAGCGCAAGGCCGCUAGCUACGAGUUCAACAAGCGCUCCCUUAGGAACUUCGUCGUCGAUGUCGUCCGUUUCGAGGUUGUUGACCGGCUGGUGCCGCUGCUGGAGCGCGCGGCGCGCGACGCGCAGACCCUCGACCUGCAGGACGUGUUGGAGCGCUUUGCGUUCGACAACAUCUGCCGCGUGGCCUUCGGCCAGGACCCAGCCUGCCUCGCCGCCGCCGAGGAGGGCAUGGCCGCGCACCAGAGCGCGGCGGAGUUCAUGGCCGCGUUCACCGUCGCGCAGGACACCAUCGUGGCCCGGGUCUUGUCGCCUACCAAGUGGAUGUGGCGGGUCAAGAGGCUGCUCGACAUGGAGCCGGAGAGACGGAUGCGCUCCGCGCUCGCCAACAUCCACCGCUACUCCGAGCAGAUCGUCCGUGACCGCAGGGAGGCUGGGCGGGCGCGCAGAGACGACUUGCUGUCCCGCUUCGCCGCAGCUGGCGAGCACAGCGAUGAGAGCCUCCGCGACGUGGUCACCAACUUCAUCCUCGCCGGCCGCGACACUACCUCGUCGGCGCUGACCUGGUCCUUCUGGUUACUGUCCACGCGGCCCGACGUGGAAGCCAAGAUCAUGCGCGAGAUCCGCGCUUCAGCCCAGGGCACGGCGAAUUUCAGCUUGGACGAGCUGCGCCAAAUGCACUACCUCCACGCAACCAUCACCGAGUCGAUGCGGCUGUACCCGCCGGUGGCUGCCGACGUGCACAGCUGCAAGGAGGACGAUGUCCUUCCGGACGGCACGUUCAUCGGUAAAGGGUGGCUGAUGACAUACUGCGCCUUCGCGAUGGCUCGGCUGGAGAGCAUCUGGGGCGAGGACUGCGAGGAGUUCCGGCCGGAGAGGUGGCUUGACGGGGAGGGCGUGUUCCGGCCGGCGAGCCCGUUCAAGUACCCAGUCUUCCACGCGUGGCCGAGGAUGUGCCUCGGAAAAGAGAUGGCCUACAUACAGAUGAAGUACAUCGUGGCGUGCGUGUUGGAGAGGUUCAGCCUCCGGUACGUCGGCGGCAAGGGGCAUCCGAAGCUCGUAAUGUUAAUGACGCUGCGGAUGGGAGGCGGCUUGCCAAUGCAGGUGAAGAACAAGGGAGGCUAG